GAUGAACGCUGGCGGCGUGCCUAAUACAUGCAAGUCGAGCGAAUGGAUUAAGAGCUUGCUCUUAUGAAGUUAGCGGCGGACGGGUGAGUAACACGUGAGUAACCUGCCCAUAAGACUGGGAUAACUCCGGGAAACUGGGGCUAAUACCGGAUAACAUUUUGAACCGCAUGGUUCGAAAUUGAAAGGCGGCUUCGGCUGUCACUUAUGGAUGGACCCGCGUCGCAUUAGCUAGUUGGUGAGGUAACGGCUCACCAAGGAAACGAUGCGUAGCCGACCUGAGAGGGUGAUCGGCCACACUGGGACUGAGACACGGCCCAGACUCCUACGGGAGGCAGCAGUAGGGAAUCUUCCGCAAUGGACGAAGGUCUGACGGAGCAACGCCGCGUGAGUGAUGAAGGCUUUCGGGUCGUAAAACUCCGUUGUUAGGGAAGAACAAGUGCUAGUUGAAUAAGCUGGCACCUUGACGGUACCUAACCAGAAAGCCACGGCUAACUACGUGCCAGCCGCCGCCGUAA
rnacentral:rRNA from 1 species